rnacentral:ncRNA from 2 species
GUAUCCAGCGGAUGCUUCGGUGCGGAUGGAUCAUCCGCUGAAAGGGAAUUCGGUGCGGCCUCUCGGCCAAGUCCGGAACUGCCCCCGCAACUGUAAGCGGCGAGCGAUGUCGGCAAAUGCCACUGUGGUUCAACCAUGGGAAGGCCCGACAAAGCGACGACCCGCAAGUCAGGAGACCUGCCGAAGUGUUCACCCUAUC